rnacentral:lncRNA from 1 species
UUUAAAUAUUACAUUUAUUAUUCAUGCUAUGUUUAGAAAAACUUUGAUGGCAAGUGUAAUAAAUGUGAUAAGAACUUUAUUAUCUGAUGACACAUCAAUAAUUUUAUCAUGACUGGAUAAUCCAAUCCUGAAAGAGACAAAAAAAAAAGUGUUAAAAAGAAUAUUAUUUAUUUCAAAAUAUGUGUACUCAGCUUUCUCCAACACUGCAACAACAUACGAAAUUCUUACAAGAAAGAAGUUUUAAAAAGAAAAAAACAUACUUGAACCUGAAUAAAAUAAAAAAAAAAGAACAAAAAGAAACAAAAUCAAAACAUUGAAAAAAAAAUUAAAAAGUGACAGAUACAAAAGUGAAUAAAAACAAAUAAAAAAUACUUGAAUAGAAAAAAGCAAAAUCAAACAUACAAACCUGAAUGUAAUAAAUAAAAACAAAUAAAAAAUACUUAAAUAGAAAAAAAGAAACAAAAUCAAAACAUACAAACCUGAAUUAAAAAAUAAAAAACAAAUAAAAAAUACUUAAAUAGAAAAAGAAACAAAAUCAAAACAUACAAACCUGAAUUAAAAAAAUAAAAACAAAUAAAAAAUACUUAAAUAAAGAAAAGAAACAAAAUAAAAACUUUGAAAAAAACAAAUUAAAAGAAACAGAUACAAAAGUGAAUGAAACAAAGAAAAAUUCAAACAAAAGAAAAAAAAGCAGAAUCAAAACAUACAAAACAAAUAAACAAGUAAUUUAAAUGAACGAAAAUUAAAACAAAAUUUUAUUAUAUAAUUUCAAGAAAAGGUUAAAAUGUCAAUUUCAAUAGAGUCAUUAGUUACACAUAUGUAUGCACAGGUAAAUUUUAAUGACACACACAAGCAGAAAACUUCAACCCUGAUUGAUUUCAACAGGUAACAUAAUUAGAUAAAACAUCAGCCUAUGUUUUAUGACCCCAAUAAAUGGCCAACAUCUCAAGAUUGAAUACCCCAAUAAAAGGUGACCAUUUAAAGGUGACCAUACAAGAGGGUGGACAUUACUAAGAGAAAGUCACAGGCUGUACUGUAUA